UUUUCGCAUCGAUGAAGAACGCAGCGAAAUGCGAUAAGUAAUGUGAAUUGCAGAUUUUCAGUGAAUCAUCGAAUCUUUGAACGCACCUUGCGCUCCUCGGUAUUCCGAGGAGCAUGCCUGUUUGAGUGUCAUUAAACCAUCAACCUCCUCGUGGGGCUUGGACUUUGGAGCGUGCUGGCCUGAGGUCGGCUCCUCUUUAAAUGCAUCAGCGGAAAGCCAUCGAUGUUUCCCGUCGGCGUGAUAAUCCUGUUGCGCCGCUAGGUCACGUCGGGGUCCCGCUCAUAAUGGUCUUCGGACAAACAUCUGUUUUGACCUCAAAUCAGGUAGGACUACCCGCUGAACUUAAGCAUAUCAAUAAGCGGAGGAAAAGAAACUAACAAGGAUUCCCCUAGUAACUGCGAGUGAAGCGGGAAAAGCUCAAAUUUAAAAUCUGGCGGUCCUCUGGGCCGUCCGAGUUGUAAUCUGGAGAAGCGUUUCCGCGUCGGACCGUGUACAAGUCUCUGAACU
rnacentral:rRNA from 1 species